UCUCCUACGGGGCGCAGCAGUGAGGAAUAUUGGUCAAUGGCCGGAAGGCUGAACCAGCCAAGCCGCGUGAGGGAGGAAGGCGCAGAGCGUCGCAGACCUCUUUUGCCGGGGGACAAAAGGCCGGACUCGUCCGGUCCUGAGGGUACCCGGAGAAAAAGCAUCGGCUAACUCCGUGCCAGCAGCCGCGGUAAUACGGAGGAUGCGAGCGUUAUCCGGAUUUAUUGGGUUUAAAGGGUGCGCAGGCGGCGAGUUAAGUCAGCGGUAAAAUUUCGGGGCUCAACCCCGACGAGCCGUUGAAACUGGCU
rnacentral:rRNA from 1 species